rnacentral:rRNA from 1 species
CGGUGACAGGUGGUGCAUGGUUGUCGUCAGCUCGUGUCGUGAGAUGUUGGGUUAAGUCCCGCAACGAGCGCAACCCCUAUUGUUAGUUUGCCAUCAUUCAGUUUGGGCACUCUAGCGAGACUGCCGGUAAUAAACCGGAGGAAGGUGGGGAUGACGUCAAAUCAUCAUGCCCCUUAUGACCUGGGCUACACACGUGCUACAAUGGUUGGUACAACGAGUUGCGAGUCGGUGACGGCGAGCUAAUCUCUUAAAGCCAAUCUCAGUUCGGAUUGUAGGCUGCAACUCGCCUACAUGAAGUCGGAAUCGCUAGUAAUCGCGGAUCAGCACGCCGCGGUGAAUACGUUCCCGGGCCUU